rnacentral:tRNA from 1 species
AGCGGGAUAUUCCCCGGGCUCAUAACCCGGAGGUCAUAGGUUCAAAUCCUAUCCCCGCUA